GCGCGUAGAGCCAGCCUGAACUGUUGCGGCGGCGCUCGCCGCGAGACCUCGGGCUGUGAACUUCUACUACUGUGGCCGAGCUGUUAACAUCAUGAGCGGAGGUCGCGCUCAUGAUUUAGAGGACUGCAGAGUUUCUGCAUUAUAACAAGCGUCGGGUCUGCCCGGGAUGACGCGACUCGUCAAUUCAAGAAGGACGCCAGGGUAUAUAAGAAGAAAUGCCGGCUUCCGCGGCAGUUCCAAGAGUUCGGAGAGUCCAGCAAAUGAAGGGAAGCGCAGCAUCGGCAAAGAGGCGCGUGUCAGGGACAACACCAGUCCGACCGCUGCGCCCGCCGACUGCAAGACGUCGGAGAACCUCCGGCGUCCAGGAAUAGGCGCCGUGACGUCUGCCGCGUGGGGUCGUCGACCCAGCCGGGUUUCCGGGUGCCUGGACACGGCUGCCAACUGCUGCUGGGGUCACGUGGGUGCUUCAUCACAGAGGAGCCAAGAAUACAGAUUUCAACAACCCUCGCUUCAAUUAUGAGUUAUGAUUAGGGGCAUGCAGAUUUCGCGAAAAGAUUUCGAGACUAGAUGAAAGUUAAAACACUGUAGCAUCGUCUGUGUUUCGUGAUUGGGCGAGUUUCUCCCAGGUACAUAUCGAUUGUUACAACACCAAUCACAGUGAUUCAGUGCGAAAGUAAACGCGUCCUGAGUGGCCCGGUCAAAUAAGGCAUCGUCUUCUCUCGCAGACGGCCAUCAAUCACAAGGGAGAAACCACAGGUGCGGGUAUACCUUGUUGCAGUCUAAUAAGGGUUCAGAACUUUUCGCGAAAAAUACCUGCCCCUAGUAAUGAUUAGUGACUGGAAAAACUCACGGAGUGAAUGCCCUCCAGAGUAGACUCCCAAGUCCUCUGAGCACCCAGGAAAAUGUCAGCUGUUCAUUGGCUGCUGAAUGUGAAACAUCUGAACUGUGCAGCCUGUGAUUCGACACUUCUUCGGUUGCAUCUUUCUCAUUGGCCCACAUUAGGCCAUACAAACCGCGAGACGACGGCACAAGAAGCACAGAGUUGCUAUAUAAGUUGAGGCAUGCAUUUUUAGCUAAACAAUCUGAUAGCUCAUUAGACUGCAGAAAGGUAUAGCUGUGCUACGAAUGUCUCCUUGUGAGUGGCAGCCUUCUGCAAGAGAUACCAUUGCCCCAUUAUGUCGGGCCAUUCAUCCGUCCUGGAUAAUUGUGACAGUAGACAUGUACCUGAAAGAAACCCAGCCAACAAUAAUACGCAGACAUGCUACAAGGUUUUAACACACAGCUGGUCACUGAACUGUAAAUCUUUUCGCGAAAAAUACAGUUCCCUAACUAUCAUUGUUUGUAUUUUAUCUUACAAUGAUUUGAACAACGGAUUUUUUCUGUAUCCACUAUGCAUGCGUAGUUUAUAGGUAGCUACAUGUAUUUUUAACACACAACCAGUAUCUUAAUAUUUUCGCAAAUAAACACUCGCUUCUUAAUUUAGGUUCAAGGUCAAGAUGUUAUCUGGGAACUGAAUGAAUUUCAAUAAAGUGACCAAACCCGA